UUCUCCUUCCUCAUCACUGCCCUGUUUCCAUGGUGCUGAAGAUGCCCCUGUGAAUGAAACACUCAAGUGUGUUCCAGAGAGACUUCGCGUUGAUAUGCUGCGGCAGUGACUUAGAAAGGCUGCCACACAUCAAAUGAGAUGGAUGAAUAAGACUGGCAGAAGAUGGUUUCUUGCAGAAAUAUAAAGAACUGGAAGAAGCAGAAACAAUGGAAUGCAGAUUGGUUGUGUCAAGGUUACUUUCUUUUAAGACAAAGACAAGAGACAGAACUACAGAGAAGUAACUGGCCAGUUACCAUCAGGAAUCUUGUCCUACUUAGGGUUACUAUGGCUGCUGCGAUAAAAUACAUUGACCAAAAGCAUCAGAGUGGAAAGAGUUUAUUUCACUUCUGUAUCUCCACCACAGGACCUCGUUGAAGGAAGUCAGCGCAGGAACCUGGAGGCAGAGGAGUGCUGCUUACUGGCUUGCUCCCCAAGGCUUGUUCAGCUUUCUAAGGCUUUCCACCUGCCCAGGAGUAGCACACUCUUCAGGGCCCUUCCAAAAUGUUAAUCAAGAAAAUGCCCCAUAGGCUUGUCUACAGGCCAAUCGUGUGGAGUUGUGGACAAUCACAGUGUCCCAUAAGUGUGCUGGCAGCCAUGAAGAUAUUCUAUAGACAUUUGGUCUACUUCUUUUGUCUAUCAGACUGUUGAAAGGGAUCCCAAGAAAUUGAAAAGUCUGCAGCAAUUUCAUGCUUGGGAAGGGAAAGGCUGAAGCUGGCGGAGAAGCUUGUUUUCCAGGAAAGGGAUUUCAGAACUCUCCAGGAAGCAGAGGCAAUGAAGAUGGACUUGCCCAUACCUUGGCGAGGAUUGUUUAGAUGUGCACAGUUGUUGCCUUCCAUUUAAAUCUAACGCUCACUUCAGGACCUGGGGAAUUUGUGGGGAGGGAGAGAGUCAUUGGACUUCUGUAUUCCUUUAUCCAGUAUGAAUUAGGACUGGGGAGCAGGCAGGCUUUGAGGGUUCAAAAGUCCACACCAUUCCCAGUUAACUCUCUCUGCCUUAUGCUCAUGGAUCAAGAGGUAAACGCUCAGCUUCCGUCCACCCCAGUGCUGUGCCUGCCUGCUGCCAGGGUUCUACCCCAGCACUGAUUAUGGCUCCCCGCCAUGAUGCUCAUGUGCUCUGACCCUCUGAAACCAUCAGGCUCCAAUAAAUUCCUUUUUCGGUA